GUUGUUUUUCUCUCCAUUUUUAUUUAAUUAAAAUCAAGAACAUUUUACAUGUCAAUCCCAGUUCCCUCUGCCUCCCCUCCUCCUCUCCCCCACCCCCCGCUACAACUAGCACCCAACCUAUCCCAUAACCUUUCUGCUCCCCAGAGAGAGUGAGGACUUCCAUAGGGGGGCUUCAGAGUCUGUCAUGUCCCUUGGGGUAGGGCGUAGACCAAGCCCCUUGUGUCUAGGCUCAGGAAGUAUCCCUCUAUGCGGAAUGGGCUCCCAAAGUCUAUUCCUAUGCUAGAAAUGAGUACUGAUCUACUACAAAAGGCCCCAUAUAUUUCUGAGGUCUCCUCACUGACACCCACAUUCAUGGGGUCUGGAUCUGUCCCAUGCUGGUUUCCCAGCUAUCAGUCUGGGAACCAAGAGCUCCUCCUUGUUCAGGUCAGCUGUUUCUGUGGGCUUCACCAGCCUGGUCUUGAGCCUUUGCUCAUCACUCCUUCUCUGGAAUUGGAUUCCAGUUCAGAUCAGUGUUUAGCUGUGAGUGUCUGCUUCUACUUCCACCAGCUACUGGAUGAAGGCUCUAUGAUGGUAUAUAAGUUAGUCAUCAAUCUCAUUAUCAGGGAAUGGCAUUUAAGGUAGCCUCUCCUCUGUUGCAUAGAUUGUUAGUUGACAUCUUUGUAGAUCUUCAGACAUUUCACUAGUGCCUGAUUUCUCUUUAAACCUAUGUCUCCCUAUAUUAUGGUAUCUCUUAUUUUGCUUUCCUCUAUUCCAAGUAUGUGGUCGAUUUUAGAGAAGGUUCCAUGUGGUGCUGAGAAGAAGGUAUAUUCUUUUGUGUUUGGAUGAAACCCAAUUGGGCCAUAACUUCUAUUAGUUCCUUUGUUUCUUUGUUAAGUUUUUGUCAGGUUUUCCUGUCUAGUGGUGACAGUGGGGUGUUGAAGUCUCCCACUAUAACUGUGUAAGGUCUUAUUGUGAUUUCAGUUUUAGUAAUGUUUCUUUUACAAAUGUGGAUGCCUUUGUAUUUGGGGCAUAGAUGUUCAGAAUUCACACUUCAUCCUGAUGGAUUUCUCCUGUGAUGAGUAAGAAGUGACCAUCUCCAUAUCUUUUGAUUGAUUUUAAUUUAAAGUCAGAAUUGUUAGAUAUUAGUAUUGCUACCCCCACUUGUUUCUUGGGGCUAUUUGAUUGGAAAAUCUUUUCCCAACCCUUUACUCUGAAGUGCCAUCUGUCUUUGAAGUUGUGGUGUGUUUAUUGUAUGCAACAGAAGGAUGGAUUCUGUCUUCUUAUCCAUUCUGCUAACCUGUGUAUUUUUAUAGGUGAGUAAAGACCAUUAAUAUUGAGGGAUAUUAAUGACCAUUGAUUGUGCAUUCUUGUUUGUUUUGGAUUUGGUGGUGGUGGUGGAAUUUUUUUGUGGAUUUCCACCCCAGUUUUCUUUUGGCGGUUGGUAAAGUGGGACUAUCUAUUGCCUAUGUUUUUGUGAGUGUAGUUAACUUCCUUGGGUUGGAGUUUCCUUCCAGAACUUUCUGUAGGGAUGGAUUGCUGGAUAUUUAUUGUUUAAAUCUGGUUUCAUCAUAGAAUAUCUUGUUUUCUCCAUAUAUAUUGUUUGAAAGCUUUGCUGGGUAUAGUAGUCUGGGCUGGCGUCCGUGGUCUCUUAGUGUAGGUUGACCUUCUGGCUUUCAGAGUUUCUGAUAGGUUUGCCCUUAUAUGUUACUUGACCUUUUUCCAUUGCUGCUCUUAAUAUUCUUUCUUUAUUCUUUAUGUUUGGUGUUGUGAUUAUUAUGUGUCAAGGAGACCUUUUUUUGGUUCAGCCUAUUUGGUGUUCUGUAGGCUUCUUGUACUUUCAUUGGCAUGUCUUUCUUUAGGUUGGGAAAGUUUCUUCUCUGAUUUUGUUGAAUAUGUUUUCUGGGCCUUGAGUUGGAUUUCUUCACCUUCUUCUAUAACGAUUAUUCUUAGGUUUGGUCUUUUAAUGGUGUCCCAUAUUUCCUGGAUAUUUUGUUGAACUGAAGAUUUUCUUAGGUUGAUGAGUCAGCCUUUCUAUUUCCAGCAGUCCCUCAGUCUGUGUUUUCUUUAUUGUCUCUAUUUCAGUUUUCAGGUCUUGAACUAUCUAAAUUGUUUCCUUCAGUUGUUUGAUUGUAUUUUCUUUGCUUUCCUUAAGAGAUUCAUUGAUUUUUUGUAUUUUUUUUUUUGGUUUUUUUCUUCCAUUUCUUUAACGGAUUUUCUCAUAUCCUCUUUGAGGCCCUUUAUCAUUUUCAUGAAGAUGUUUUUAAGGCCGUUCUCUUCUGCUUCAUCUGCGUUGGGAUUUUCAGGUUUUGCUGGUGUAGGGUCCCUACACUCCAUUGGUAUCAUAUUGUUUUUGCUGUUGUUGGAUGUGUUUUUAUAUUGUCUUCUUCCUGUCCCUUCUUCCGGUGGGUAUAAAAGGAGUCUUUUCCUCUCCUGGUAGGUACAGGACCAAGGUUCUCUUCCAGUAAGUGCAAACAAAUCCAAUACUCAGUUGUGUCUCCUCUUCCUAGUCCCGUGGAUGGAGGUGGGACUGGCACUGGAGCUUUGGCAGUCUCUGGUUGGGCUAGAUCCUGCCGAAAUGGGAUCCUCCACAAGUACUCUGGCAGCCUCAGGUGUCCCUGAGCAAGGCAGAGGAAGACAGGCCAGAAACAGCCCCAAGCUUACCUUGUCCCUUGGAUGGAGGCCAGACUGGUACCAGGGACUUGGAAGUCUCUCAGUGUGUUGGAUCCCACCGAAUUGGGAUCUUCCAUGAGCAGACCCCAGGCCUCAGGUGUCCCCGGGCAGGGCAGAGCAAGCUUGUUUGUCAUCUUAUUGUACUUUUCCU
rnacentral:lncRNA from 1 species